UAUUUUAAACCGUGUGGCUGUCUCCUUAAAUCACUUGCCCCUUUGCUUUGGCUCAGACAUUCUACGUCAUACUGACAUGUCGAACCCCAGCUCUAGCCAGACAUCAGAACAACUUCCUUUGGUUUCAAUCGAUCAUUGUUGAAGAACUUGUAUUAAACAAAAAAAAUAAACAUGGCCUCAAGUUGUCGAAAACCCGAGCAUAUGGCCCCGCCUAAAAAUGUUCUACAACGAAGAGGAGGCCAAGAAAUAUUUUCAGAAUUCUUGGAUGAUUUAGAUCCAGGGCCAGAUGUCUUAGAGGGCUGUGGAGCUGCUGAACCUGCCUGAGGACCAGCCCUGUUUCCUGCUAGAUGUGGGGUUCUUCCCGUGUCUAUUGGUUUGGUUUUCAGGAAGCCUACCCAAGGGGCUGCGGUCAGAGACGGUGGACAGGAGUGUCCCUAAUCAAGUCCAAUUCACAGGACAGAGAUCUCGCUUUAAGAACAUGAAGGGCAAGUCUGCAGAGAAGGGAAAAGACUGGAUCUUGGAGGGGAGGAGAAGACAGGGCAGGUAUGUACCCCCCCCCGUCUACACUGUCUCAUUGAGAAGACAGGGCAGGUACAGUUGAAGUCGGAGGUUUACAUACAC